rnacentral:lncRNA from 1 species
AGAAAAUCCUCUCUGCUAGCAACUUCAUUUUCACUCCAGCAUUAUUCUGUUGCAGGGCCUAUGAAGCAGAUUGCUAACAAAAAGGGUUGCUCAGAGGGUUUCUUUCAAUAAACCCAAAGGAAAAGAGUCAAGAUCUCCAUAAUGAUUUUGUUUCGUUUUGAUUUCCGUACAAAGUGAACCAACUAAAGUGAACUCUGCAGUAUGGACAUCUCCCUGGGGCACCUCAAGGUCAGAUGGUGUUCAUGACUUGGAUGCACAU